rnacentral:rRNA from 1 species
GAUGAACGCUGGCGGCGUGCCUAAUACAUGCAAGUCGAGCGAACAGACGAGGAGCUUGCUCCUCUGACGUUAGCGGCGGACGGGUGAGUAACACGUGGAUAACCUACCUAUAAGACUGGGAUAACUUCGGGAAGCCGGAGCUAAUACCGGAUAAUAUAUUGAACCGCAUGGUUCAAUAGUGAAAGACGGUUUUGCUGUCACUUAUAGAUGGAUCCGCGCCGCAUUAGCUAGUUGGUAAGGUAACGGCUUACCAAGGCAACGAUGCGUAGCCGACCUGAGAGGGUGAUCCGCCACACUGGAACUGAGACACGGUCCAGACUCCUACGGGAGGCAGCAGUAGGGAAUCUUCCGCAAUGGGCGAAAGCCUGACGGAGCAACGCCGCGUGAGUGAUGAAGGUCUUCGGAUCGUAAAACUCUGUUAUUAGGGAAGAACAAAUGUGUAAGUAACUAUGCACGUCUUGACGGUACCUAAUCAGAAAGCCACGGCUAACUACGUG